UCAGGACGAACGCUGGCGGCGUGCCUAACACAUGCAAGUCGAACGGGGUUAUAUAAGAAGCUUGCUUUGAAUAUAACCAAGUGGCGGACGGGUGAGUAACGCGUGAGGACCUGUCUCCGGCAGGGGGACAACAUUUGGAAACGGAUGCUAAUACCGCAUAAGCCGAGAGGUGAAAGGAGCAAUCCGGCAGGAGAGGGACUCGCGUUCUAUCAGCUAGUACGCGGGGUAAAGGCCCACCUAGGCGAAGACGGAUAGCCGGACUGAGAGGUCGACCGGCCACACUGGAACUGAGACACGGUCCAGACUCCUACGGGAGGCAACAGUGGGGAAUAUUGGGCAAUGGGGGCAACCCUUGACCCAGCGACGCCGCGUGGGUGAAGAAAUCCCUCGGGAUGUAAAGCCCUGUUGUUGUGGGAAGAACAAAUGACCGUACCGCACGAGGAAAGCCCCGGCAAACUACGUGCCAGCAGCCCCGGUAAUACGUGCGGGGCGAGCGUUGUUCCGAAAUUACUGGGCGUAUACCCCACCCAGGCGGUUCGUUGAAUCUGCUGUCCACAGGCUGAAGCUCAACCUCAGUUUCUACCACCAGAUA
rnacentral:rRNA from 1 species